CGCUAGCUACAGGCUUAACACAUGCAAGUCGAGGGGCAGCAUGGUCUUAGCUUGCUAAGGCCGAUGGCGACCGGCGCACGGGUGAGUAACACGUAUCCAACCUGCCGUCUACUCUUGGACAGCCUUCUGAAAGGAAGAUUAAUACAAGAUGGCAUCAUGAGUCCGCAUGUUCACAUGAUUAAAGGUAUUCCGGUAGACGAUGGGGAUGCGUUCCAUUAGAUAGUAGGCGGGGUAACGGCCCACCUAGUCUUCGAUGGAUAGGGGUUCUGAGAGGAGGGUCCCCCACAUUGGAACUGAGACACGGUCCAAACUCCUACGGGAGGCAGCAGUGAGGAAUAUUGGUCAAUGGGCGAGAGCCUGAACCAGCCAAGUAGCGUGAAGGAUGACUGCCCUAUGGGUUGUAAACUUCUUUUAUAAAGGAAUAAAGUCGGGUAUGGAUACCCGUUUGCAUGUACUUUAUGAAUAAGGAUCGGCUAACUCCGUGCCAGCAGCCGCGGUAAUACGGAGGAUCCGAGCGUUAUCCGGAUUUAUUGGGUUUAAAGGGAGCGUAGAUGGAUGUUUAAGUCAGUUGUGAAAGUUUGCGGCUCAACCGUAAAAUUGCAGUUGAUACUGGAUAUCUUGAGUGCAGUUGAGGCAGGCGGAAUUCGUGGUGUAGCGGUGAAAUGCUUAGAUAUCACGAAGAACUCCGAUUGCGAAGGCAGCCUGCUAAGCUGCAACUGACAUUGAGGCUCGAAAGUGUGGGUAUCAAACAGGAUUAGAUACCCUGGUAGUCCACACGGUAAACGAUGAAUACUCGCUGUUUGCGAUAUACUGCAAGCGGCCAAGCGAAAGCGUUAAGUAUUCCACCUGGGGAGUACGCCGGCAACGGUGAAACUCAAAGGAAUUGACGGGGGCCCGCACAAGCGGAGGAACAUGUGGUUUAAUUCGAUGAUACGCGAGGAACCUUACCCGGGCUUAAAUUGCAGAUGAAUUACGGUGAAAGCCGUAAGCCGCAAGGCAUCUGUGAAGGUGCUGCAUGGUUGUCGUCAGCUCGUGCCGUGAGGUGUCGGCUUAAGUGCCAUAACGAGCGCAACCCUUGUUGUCAGUUACUAACAGGUUCCGCUGAGGACUCUGACAAGACUGCCAUCGUAAGAUGUGAGGAAGGUGGGGAUGACGUCAAAUCAGCACGGCCCUUACGUCCGGGGCUACACACGUGUUACAAUGGGGGGUACAGAGGGCCGCUACCACGCGAGUGGAUGCCAAUCCCCAAAACCUCUCUCAGUUCGGACUGGAGUCUGCAACCCGACUCCACGAAGCUGGAUUCGCUAGUAAUCGCGCAUCAGCCACGGCGCGGUGAAUACGUUCCCGGGCCUUGUACACACCGCCCGUCAAGCCAUGGGAGCCGGGGGUACCUGAAGUGCGUAACCGCGAGGAGCGCCCUAGGGUAAAACUGG
rnacentral:rRNA from 1 species